rnacentral:tRNA from 1 species
GAACACUGGGAUAGCUCAGUUGGUAGAGCAUGAGAUUCUUAAUUUCAGGGUCCUGGGUUCAAGCCUCACAUUGUUCA